rnacentral:rRNA from 1 species
UACGUAGGUGGCGAGCGUUGUCCGGAAUUACUGGGCGUAAAGGGCGUGUAGGCGGCCUUUUAAGUCAGACGUGAAAUCCCUGGGCUUAACCCAGGAACUGCGUUUGAAACUGAAGGGCUUGAGGACCGGAGAGGGCAGUGGAAUUCCCAGUGUAGCGGUGAAAUGCGUAGAUAUUGGGAGGAACACCAGUGGCGAAGGCGACUGCCUGGACGGCACCUGACGCUGAGGCGCGAAAGCUAGGGGAGCAAACGGG